rnacentral:rRNA from 1 species
CUUAAAGGAAUUGACGGGGACCCGCACAAGCGGUGGAUGAUGUGGUUUAAUUCGAUGCAACGCGAAAAACCUUACCCACCUUUGACAUGUACGGAAUUCGCCAGAGAUGGCUUAGUGCUCGAAAGAGAACCGUAACACAGGUGCUGCAUGGCUGUCGUCAGCUCGUGUCGUGAGAUGUUGGGUUAAGUCCCGCAACGAGCGCAACCCUUGUCAUUAGUUGCUACAUUCAGUUGGGCACUCUAAUGAGACUGCCGGUGACAAACCGGAGGAAGGUGGGGAUGACGUCAAGUCCUCAUGGCCCUUAUAGGUGGGGCUACACACGUCAUACAAUGGCUGGUACAAAGGGUUGCCAACCCGCGAGGGGGAGCUAAUCCCAUAAAACCAGUCGUAGUCCGGAUCGCAGUCUGCAACUCGACUGCGUGAAGUCGGAAUCGCUAGUAAUCGUGGAUCAGAAUGUCACGGUGAAUACGUUCCCGGGUCUUGUACACAC